ACGAACGCUGGCGGCGUGCCUAAUACAUGCAAGUCGAACGCUUCUUUUUCCACCGGAGCUUGCUCCACCGGAAAAAGAGGAGUGGCGAACGGGUGAGUAACACGUGGGUAACCUGCCCAUCAGAAGGGGAUAACACUUGGAAACAGGUGCUAAUACCGUAUAACAAUCGAAACCGCAUGGUUUUGAUUUGAAAGGCGCUUUCGGGUGUCGCUGAUGGAUGGACCCGCGGUGCAUUAGCUAGUUGGUGAGGUAACGGCUCACCAAGGCGACGAUGCAUAGCCGACCUGAGAGGGUGAUCGGCCACAUUGGGACUGAGACACGGCCCAAACUCCUACGGGAGGCAGCAGUAGGGAAUCUUCGGCAAUGGACGAAAGUCUGACCGAGCAACGCCGCGUGAGUGAAGAAGGUUUUCGGAUCGUAAAACUCUGUUGUUAGAGAAGAACAAGGAUGAGAGUAACUGUUCAUCCCUUGACGGUAUCUAACCAGAAAGCCACGGCUAACUACGUGCCAGCAGCCGCGGUAAUACGUAGGUGGCAAGCGUUGUCCGGAUUUAUUGGGCGUAAAGCGAGCGCAGGCGGUUUCUUAAGUCUGAUGUGAAAGCCCCCGGCUCAACCGGGGAGGGUCAUUGGAAACUGGGAGACUUGAGUGCAGAAGAGGAGAGUGGAAUUCCAUGUGUAGCGGUGAAAUGCGUAGAUAUAUGGAGGAACACCAGUGGCGAAGGCGGCUCUCUGGUCUGUAACUGACGCUGAGGCUCGAAAGCGUGGGGAGCAAACAGGAUUAGAUACCCUGGUAGUCCACGCCGUAAACGAUGAGUGCUAAGUGUUGGAGGGUUUCCGCCCUUCAGUGCUGCAGCUAACGCAUUAAGCACUCCGCCUGGGGAGUACGACCGCAAGGUUGAAACUCAAAGGAAUUGACGGGGGCCCGCACAAGCAGUGGAGUAUGUGGUUUAAUUCGAAGCAACGCGAAGAACCUUACCAGGUCUUGACAUCCUUUGACCACUCUAGAGAUAGAGCUUCCCCUUCGGGGGCAAAGUGACAGGUGGUGCAUGGUUGUCGUCAGCUCGUGUCGUGAGAUGUUGGGUUAAGUCCCGCAACGAGCGCAACCCUUAUUGUUAGUUGCCAUCAUUUAGUUGGGCACUCUAGCAAGACUGCCGGUGACAAACCGGAGGAAGGUGGGGAUGACGUCAAAUCAUCAUGCCCCUUAUGACCUGGGCUACACACGUGCUACAAUGGGAAGUACAACGAGUCGCAAAGUCGCGAGGCUAAGCUAAUCUCUUAAAGCUUCUCUCAGUUCGGAUUGUAGGCUGCAACUCGCCUACAUGAAGCCGGAAUCGCUAGUAAUCGCGGAUCAGCACGCCGCGGUGAAUACGUUCCCGGGCCUUGUACACACCGCCCGUCACACCACGAGAGUUUGUAACACCCGAAGUCGGUGAGGUAACCUUUUGGAGCCAGCCGCCUAAGGUGGGAUAGAUGAUUGGGGUG
rnacentral:rRNA from 1 species